GUAUUACUUGUGUAGCACAUACGCUAACAUUGGAACGAUACCAAGAACAUUAGUAUGGUCCCUGACGCAAGCAUGACACACACAAUCGUUAAGUGAUCCAAAUUUUU